GACCGGGAUAACAGCAGGAAACUGCUGACAAGACCGGAUAAGGUCAUGAAGCCGCAUAGCUUAGUGAUGAAAGGAGACGCCUGCGGAGAGCCUUGCGUCCUAUUAGCUAGUUGGAGGGGUAACGGCCCACCAAGGCGAAGAUAGGUAGCCGGCCUGAGAGGGUGGACGGCCACAAGGGGACUGAGAUACGGCCCUUACUCCUACGGGAGGCAGCAGUGGGGAAUAUUGGACAAUGGGGGCAACCCUGAUCCAGCAAUUCUGUGUGCACGAAGACGGUUUUCGGAUUGUAAAGUGCUUUCAGCAGGGAAGAAGGAAGUGACGGUACCUGCAGAAGAAGCGACGGCUAAAUACGUGCCAGCAGCCGCGGUAAUACGUAUGUCGCGAGCGUUAUCCGGAAUUAUUGGGCAUAAAGGGCAUCUAGGCGGCCUUUCAAGUCAGGGGUGAAAACCUGCGGCUCAACCGCAGGCCUGCCUUUGAAACUGAUAGGCUGGAGUACCGGAGAGGUGGACGGAACUGCACGAGUAGAGGUGAAAUUCGUAGAUAUGUGCAGGAAUGCCGAUGAU
rnacentral:rRNA from 1 species